AGGUGCUGCAGUGGCUGUCGUCAACUCCGUGUCGUGAGAUGUCGGGUUAAGUCCCGUAACGAGCGCAACCCUUGUCCUUAGUUACCAGCACGUUAUGGUGGGCACUCUAAGGAGACUGCCGGUGACAAACCGGAGGAAGGUGGGGAUGACGUCAAGUCAUCAUGGCCCUUACGGCCUGGGCUACACACGUGCUACAAUGGUCGGUACAAAGGGUUGCCAAGCCGCGAGGUGGAGCUAAUCCCAUAAAACCGAUCGUAGUCCGGAUCGCAGUCUGUCAACUCGACUGCGUGAAGUCGGAAUCGCUAGUAAUCGUGAAUCAGAAUGUCACGGUGAAUACGUUCCCGGGCCUU
rnacentral:rRNA from 1 species